AUUCAGUUGAUGAUUCGCAGAUAAGACGAAACGCGCGUCCUCGAU
rfam:Schistosoma margrebowiei strain Zambia genome assembly, scaffold: SMRZ_contig0000131